GGGCGUAUAGCUCAGGGGUAGAGCGCCCGCUUCGCAUUACCUGCCGACUGUAAUUUGCGGGAGGUCUUGGGUUCAAUUCCCAAUUCGUCCA